AUGGCAGGAUCGUGCUGGGCAUUCGCGGCGGUGGCGGCCAUCGAAGGCAUGAACAAGAUUAGGACAGGGGAGCUGGUGUCGCUGUCCGAGCAGGAACUCGUGGACUGCGACACCGGGAGCAGCGGCUGCGGCGGCGGCCACUCAGACUCGGCUAUGGCCCUCGUGGCCGCCCGUGGUGGCAUCACGUCGGAGGAGAAGUACCCCUACGCCGGAUUCCAGGGAAAGUGCGACGUGGACAAGCUGCUGUUCGACCACCAAGCGUCCGUCAAGGGCUUCAAGGCCGUGCCACCCAACAACGAAGCUCAGCUGGCGAUCGCUGUAGCCAUGCAGCCCGUGACGGCGUACAUUGACGCCAGCGGUUUUGAGUUCCAGUUCUACUCCGGCGGCAUCUACCGUGGCCCCUGCUCCGCCAAUGUGAACCACGCCGUCACCAUCGUCGGCUACUGCGAGGGUCCCGCCGAGGGAGACAAGUACUGGAUUGCCAAGAACUCGUGGAGCAACGACUGGGGUGAACAAGGAUAUGUCUACCUCGCAAAGGACGUGCCCUCGUCCACGGGCACAUGUGGCCUUGCCACCUCGCCCUUCUACCCCACGGCUUGA
rnacentral:rRNA from 1 species